GUGGGAUGCCAAGAAUAUGAUGUGCGCUGCUGAUCCUCGCCAUGGUAGAUAUCUUACAGCAUCAGCAAUGUUCCGUGGCAAAAUGAGCACAAAAGAAGUCGAUGAGCAGAUGAUCAAUGUGCAGAACAAGAACUCGUCUUACUUUGUUGAAUGGAUUCCCAACAAUGUCAAAUCCACUGUUUGUGACAUCCCUCCAACGGGCUUAAAGAUGGCCUCCACAUUUAUUGGCAACUCGACAUCAAUUCAGGAGAUGUUUAGAAGGGUCAGUGAGCAGUUCACUGCCAUGUUUCGUAGAAAAGCUUUCUUGCAUUGGUAUACCGGGGAAGGUAUGGACGAGAUGGAGUUCACAGAGGCAGAGAGUAACAUGAAUGAUUUGGUGUCAGAGUAUCAGCAAUACCAGGAUGCAACUGCAGAUGAGGAAGGAGAUGAGUACGAGGAUGAAGAAGAAUAUCAGGAAGAGGCCUAGAUGCACCUGGUUUGCUUAUAGGCACAGGUCAUGGGGUUUCCAUCUGUUAUACAUGUUAUCGGUUCUGCUUUGGAGUCUACUUUUUCAGAUUUUAUUUUCAUGCAAAGUUGGUUGCCUGUUUCCAUAAUUCACAAAAAUACUGGUUCACCUGUUUUUCUCUUAGAUCUCCAGUUCUCCACUUCCGCCAACCAAAAAGGGGGAAAAGGGAUUGCUAUUGUCUCACAAGUGAUCUUUUGUUAAGAAUUUUGGUGGAGAAUGUCUCUUUCCUUUAUACUUCUUCCAGAAUUCUUCUUUUGUUAUAAAAUAUGUUCUAUUCUCGGUUUUGUCUUCUAUUAUUGAUGUUAG
rnacentral:misc_RNA from 1 species